GCCGCAAUAGCUCAGUCGGUAGAGCACGUCAUUCGUAAUGACGGGGUCGGGGGUUCGAUUCCCUCUUGCGGCACCA
rnacentral:tRNA from 2 species